GGAAAGUCGUUCACAUACAGCUAAAGUUAGUACAAGCCAUCCAAACUUUUCUUAGGUUGACAAACUUUAACUAGAUCAUGAUUGUGUUUUGGUUAAAAAGUUGUUGCUUGUCUGUAGUCGCAACAUAAAUGAAUCUACAUAGAGUCUGUGCCUGAUUGGGAAGACAGACCUAGACAAAAACCGGCCAAUGCCAGGGUUGCUGCUGCCUUCGCUCGCGGGGCGCUACCCAAGGAAAGUUUUCCCCGCACAGCCGAAGAGGAGUCUGGCUCACGCGCAGGUGCUAUUUAAACACCGCCGAGAGCCAUUACCGGGCUGAUCAGUGUUGCUGAGGAGAAGGAGGGAAGCCCUGUGCGAAGCUCGGGGGAAGGCACCCCGAGGAGACCCGUCCUUUGCCCGCAGCUCUAGCGCCCUACGCCGUGGGGGGGAAUGGACAGAAAGGCCAGUUACCUGCGGUAGAAGAUGCUAGGAUCAGUUCCAGCACAACUAUGAAACAGAUGAAGAAUUUAGGAAAAUAAUUAAUUCCUACAGAGAAUACUUUAUGUAGCACGAUAAUGAAAAUGAGAGAGAGAGAGAGAGAGAUCCACACAGCAUGGAGGCAGCAAAGCCAGGAAAAAAAGUUUUUGGUUUGCAAUCAGCUGCUCAUUCUGUCAAAUUCUUGUCUCUUUGCACUUGGCUGUGAGCAAAUAUGAUAAAUACAAUCAUUUUGAUGUCUAAUAGAAUAAUCCUGACUAGAGCAUUCAGCAUAGUUGCUGCAUCACUUGGAAAGGGACGCGCCAAUGAAAGCUCAACACCAGUUCUGGCUGAAAAAGGUUAAAUGAUGGUCUGGCAUGAUUAUUUGUUAUACUGCCAGGCUUUACACACUAUGAAUUGAUUGAAAUAACUUCUGGAUUAACUGCUUCCCCCAUCACCUCCUCAACCAACAAUCUGAAUUUUGUCAACUGGAAAAAGUAUUGUGGUCUCUCACAUAUUCUGUAUUUUUUUUUAAACACAAAGUUGUACAAAAUCUUAAGUGAAAUAGAGAUCAUUGAUGGUUUAUAGCCAUGGCCCUAUGAAAGAGUAAACAUGAACACUCACAUCGAAGUAUAAGGUACCUCAAUAGUCUGUAACAUAACAAGGGGUAGAAUUAUCUUCCUCAUAGGUGUGUACCACACCCAGUUCCUCUGGUGGUGCUCAUGUUGCUAGUUACUUUGGAGCUAAUAGUUUGGAAGGAGCACUGGGAGAGAAUCUUAAGCAUUACCUUGGUAGCUACCCUUAUGUUUUUCUGUUGGGGUGGGUGUAUGGAGUUUGUUCACAAAGGCCUGCCCCAAAACCUACAAGAGACUAGAGCCAUCUGUAUGGAAACCCUAUAACUCUAGCCUACAGUGCGGCUCCAGGAAUUUUUCUCCUGCCUGUGUCUGUCCAUUUGGGAUGAUUGGAGCUAUGUAGAAAAUAUAAUGUUGUCCCAGGCUAGCCGUACUAUCUUUUCUCCUCAAAUUCAGCAAGGCUAGAUGGGAAAGAAUGUGUCGUUAUCUGUCCUGGCCCUUAAUUCAUCCAUACCCCCCGUUUGCCUGUCUCUAAUCCUUUUCUCUAUGUAACCCCACACUUAGAGUGCCCUUUGCCGGGCACAAAGGAGAGAUGGUGCCAGGGAGAUGGCUGAUGCUCUUCGGUACAGGAUCUGUGGGAGCUCUGUGCAUCGAGAGUCAUUUUAGCACUCCGGAGCUGGGAAGGACAAUCCAGGCCUUUAUUUUUAAUGCUCCAGUAGAGGGGCUGAAUAUUCAAGUUGUCAUAAAUGAGUUUCCUAUCCUGCUUUAACAAUGAGUGAACAAUCAUUACUGUUUACUAUUGAAGCAAAAGGUUAAGGAAAAGCUGGUGUAAUUUUACCUUACACAGCUAAAUAUCUCUGUAUAGCUUUCUGUACUUACAUUUUCUUCAUAAUAUCCCUUUAUUAAUAAAGAAAUCAAUAUACAGUUUCAAACUAACAAAAUCAACAGUUUUAGAAAUACUUGCUAGUGUUACAGUAGCCCUAGUCAAUAGCCCUGAUUCAAGAAAUAUACUUAGGCAGGAAGGGUGCUUAAAGAAGUGAAGUACAUAGGUUUUAGGCAUGUACUUAAUUUUAAAAAGAUAUGCAUACACUUAAGUGCUUUCCUGAAUCGGAACCACUGAAUGGUAGUGUUAUUCCUCAAUGAACCCUGACAGCUUAUACUUUCCACAAGAGGUUUGAUGAUGGAAAAUUAAGCAAACACUUAUGCACAUUUUAAAAAAACACCACUUUACUCCUGUGAGAAAUAUCUUUGAAGUUGGCCUGCGAAGUGUGAUAGGAUUUAGUUGUCAUGGGUAAUUUCCUAGUUAGUUGUAAUCCAAAGGGGAUUGAGAUCACUAAAUCCGCAAGCAGCAUUCUGUCUUUAGCUAAAAUCAUAGGCCAAAAGAAAAAAAUGGGCUGCCUGUGAUUUUCUGAGGUAGAUUUUAUGCAAUAGUUGAGCUGUAUUUCUAAUAUACAGGACCUUCCUCCACAAUGCUGUGGAGUAUUUAAAAAGUUUUGCAGUAGUACUGUAUAAUAUAUAGAAUUUGGGCACAGAGGGAGAUGAAUAUAGAACUCAUGUAUUAACAUGUGGGAGCACAAAAUAUAUUUUGCUCAAACAGCUCUGUACUGCAAUGUACUGCACAUGUUGGCCCUGAUCCAGCAAGCAUGUGCUUAAACAUUGAAAUUAUGGGCCUGUUCACAGGCUUAAAGCUAAGCAUGUGCUUUGUAGGCUCAGGGUUAGAGUGCUGAGAAACUUAUAGGCUCAAGUCCAUUAAGGACUUGUCUAUACAGGGAAAUUUACUGAUAUAAUUCUAUUGGUAUAACUUCCCCUAUGGACACGCUUUUUCCAGUUUAGCGUAUGCUACUGCCAAAGCAACACAGUAAAGCAGAAAGACAUUCUUAUUCCAGAGUAAGUGUGUCUACAUGGGGAUUUAUACUGGUAUAGUAUAAAUACACUUGUAUAAUUAUGCCAGUAACUUUCCAUGUAGACAAACCGUAAAAAUGAUUGUGGACUGGGUUGGAAUGGCAAUUGGGUGUUACGCAGUAAAAUGUAACUGGUUGUCAUUUGGCUGUAGUCCCCACAGUCACAAAGGGGAAACACAAAGCCCACAACGGGGGGGGGGGGAGUGAGAUCCUGCCUUCUUUACUGUACUUGUUAACCUGUCGCUCUUUGUUUUCAUGGAGGAAUUUACCUUCCUUAGUGCUUAAAGCUAAGGACUAGGAGUCAGGGUUCCUGCUCCUGACUGGACUUGGCCCUGAUCCAAAGUCCAUUGAAGUCAACUGAAUUGAUCUUAAUGGGGUUAGAAUCAGGAUCUUUGACCCCAGCCUCAACCUGGCUUUACUUUUUGUGCUUGCAGUUAUCUGUGAGCACAAUUUACGUUACUGAGCCAUCUUUGUACUUUGUGUACCCACAAAUCCAAAAGGUCAAGUGACAUGGAAAAGCGAGGUUAACUUUUUAUUUUUAAAUUGUCUCGUAAUCUCUGUAUACCUAUACAAUAAGAAUAUAUUAUUGCCCUUUUUUUGACCCAACUGCCUAGUCAAAGUUUUGGGCCCUGAAAAUGUUUCAGUUGGAAGCAGAAAUUGAUGACAGCGUCUGUUAUUUUCUUUGAUGCAAUCUUGUUUAUUUACAAGGAAUACAGGACAAAGAAAAACAAACAGAGGGCUAGCUUAUUUGCUUACAGUCUCAAGCCUCUUAGAUAGCACCAGACCCAGAACCUUCCUCAAGGCUUCGCCACGGUCACACUGUGCUUGGCUUUCUUCCUUCCUCUGAGUCUUCAUUUUUGUCUGCUCUGCCUCCCCCUUUUGCCUCAAAGACCCCCAACCCAGACAGUACAAUACUCAGCAAAACCCUGCUGCCCUCUCAAUGCAAAACUCUUGGGUAGGUUCACAACCCCUUUUGUCUUAGGUGGUGGGUUUUUGAUUAACUUGUCCUGAUAGUCAUGUUAAGUGAUGCUAAAGAGGCUUGACGAUCCAUGCGCUUACCAGUACCUCUCAGCAUAAAAAUAUAUGUGCCUUCAGAACUUGGGUGCUGAAUGUAUUAAUAAAAUGUUACAAAGAAGAAACCUAAUUACAGCUCUGGAAAAUAUUUCUGUUUAAUGGACAAUUGUAUUUUUCUGUACAUUGUAAAAAGCUACAAACUGCAGAUUGUGGUUUUGUGUCUGUUUCUGGUUUGGAGUUUGAUUUAAUUUGUUCUCAUACAGCUCCUAUCAUGCAUGAGCCUUUUGGGAAAAUGUGCAUCUUUUCCUGCUUUUUAGCAAGCACUGGCAGACUCCUCUUUUGGUGAAGUCUGUCUCCUCCUUUUUUGCUUUGAACCUUUUGCUGAGAUUCAUAUCUGGGGAUGGUGCAAAUUGUAAGAUAUGCAAAGAAUAACUUCCAAGGCAGCACAACUUCAGUGAGUUUGGCCAUGAGGACUACAUUUUGUCUCACCCAGUACAAGCUGUCAUGAAGAUCCUUGUUCUAGGUUAGGCUGCAGUAACCUACAGAAUGCAAAUAGCUUGAGUUUAACCACCAGAUGAAGAACUCUACUGAUAAGUGGUGUCAGCCAGAUGUUAGAGCAGACUUAGCCAAAUGGACAAAUAAGGA